rnacentral:rRNA from 1 species
GAUGAACGCUGGCGGCGUGCCUAAUACAUGCAAGUCGAGCGAACAGACGAGGAGCUUGCUCCUCUGACGUUAGCGGCGGACGGGUGAGUAACACGUGGAUAACCUACCUAUAAGACUGGGAUAACAUCGGGAAACCGGAGCUAAUACCGGAUAACAUGUUGAACCGCAUGGUUCAACAGUUGAAGACGGUCUUGCUGUCACUUAUAGAUGGAUCCGCGCCGCAUUAGCUAGUGGGUAAGGUAACGGCUUACCAAGGCAACGAUGCGUAGCCGACCUGAGAGGGUGGUCGGCCACACUGGAACUGAGACACGGUCCAGACUCCUACGGGAGGCAGCAGUAGGGACUCUUCCGCAAUGGGCGAAAGCCUAACGGAGCAACGCCGCGUGAGUGAAGAAGGUCUUCGGAUCGUAAAACUCUGUUAUUAGGGAAGAACAAAUGUGUAAGUAACUAUGCACGUCUUGACGGUACCUAAUCAGAAAGCCACGGCUAACUACGUG